AGCGAACGCUGGCGGCAGGCCUAACACAUGCAAGUCGAACGAAGUCUUCGGACUUAGUGGCGGACGGGUGAGUAACACGUGGGAACGUGCCUUUAGGUUCGGAAUAAUUCAGGGAAACUUGUGCUAAUACCGAAUGUGCCCUUCGGGGGAAAGAUUUAUCGCCUUUAGAGCGGCCCGCGUCUGAUUAGCUAGUUGGUGAGGUAAAGGCUCACCAAGGCUACGAUCAGUAGCUGGUCUGAGAGGAUGACCAGCCACAUUGGGACUGAGACACGGCCCAAACUCCUACGGGAGGCAGCAGUGGGGAAUCUUGCGCAAUGGGCGAAAGCCUGACGCAGCCACGCCGCGUGGAUGAUGAAGGUCUUAGGAUUGUAAAAUCCUUUCACCGGUGAAGAUAAUGACUGUAGCCGGAGAAGAAGCCCCGGCUAACUUCGUGCCAGCAGCCGCCGUAAAAC
rnacentral:rRNA from 1 species